UGUGUGUGAGGGAUGAGGGCGUGGCCCCGCUGCUGCCCGGGCUGCGGAGGGGAGAGCGCCUUGGCCGCUGGCCUGGCUCGUGGUUUCCCCUGGUGCUGGGGAGUGGAGGCGAGUUGUGCUUCCUGCGGGGAGAGAGAAGGGCCUUGGGAAGCUGCUCCAUGAGCCACAGCUGUGCCGAGUCUGGGAGUCUGUCCAGGUAAGAGCAGGGCUUGUACUGCCAGGGAGGAGCUGGGGUUUGCUGUUGGAAGAUAGAAUAUGCCCAUGCCUUUAAAUGCAAGGACAGGCAGAAGCUGGGAGGGACCCUGAGCAGGUUUGGUGGCACGACAGCAGUUUGAAAAGACCUUGACUGUGGGGGAAGUGUCCAGGAGAAACGAUUCCUUUUUUGCAGGGAGGCAGUUUGCAAGGACAGGGGGGUUGCUGUGCUCUCUAGCAAAAAUACUCCCCUUGGGAUGUGCAGGGUGAGGAAAUGUUGGCCAUGUGUGGGCUGGAGCAAAGGUGUGUGGGUGCCUGUGUGUGACAGCCGUGGGUGUGCAGGAAGGGGGUUCUGGUGCCAUUGGAGCUGCCAGGGAGCCAAAAAGGGCACAGUUGUCUGAAAAAGGCAAAAAGUCUCAGCCUCUGUUGACACCUGCACCAAAGGAGAUGCAAAUUUUCCCUUUCUCAUCUGCAGACUUCACAAAGCUCCCCAGGAAAGGAAGCUUUAGAUUCCUCCCUAGCUUUAUGCUAAAGGUUUCCUUCCUCCUGUCUCAGCACCCUUUCUGCUGUUAGGAGAGCACGAGGUGGAUGGAGAGGAUCUCCAGGCAUCUGCAGGCAUAAGGGACUCCUACAACUGAAAUUUUCCUACAGCCCUUGUGGAAGGGACUUCCAGGAUACUCUUGGGAAUGUGCCAGCUCUCCUGCUGGAGCUUUUCUGUGGAAUAUUUGAACACAAAGGGUAAAACUAAAGUCAGGUCUGUUCUGGAGUAUGUUACACUUGUGCAAAACUCCUUUCUUCUGUUUAUUUUCUGUUCUGAAAAGCACAGUCUGGGGUUCCUGGGCACCUCCUAUUGAGUGAUUCCAUGAAAAUAAUUUUGUACUGAAAGGGGAAAGGAGCUGUCUAUGGGAGGUCAGGUGUCCAUGAUAAAAGCUUUAUGUUUUUCAGUCAGAUAAGCCUUAAAAUACCUCACAGUGUAUAGGAAUGACUGGCUUCUAAAACUCACAGCUGAGUCUUAGAGGCUUCUUUGAAGAGCUGAGUUCAGGCAGGAAAAUUGGUCCCCCAGGAGGGACUCUGUGCCUGCUCUCCCGUGGCUCCAAGGGAUCUCUGGCCCUUCACGCCGGCACCGAGAUUUUCUCGGGAAGGGCCUCAGAUCCCCGGACCAGUCUGGGACACAGGCAAGAUCCCCCUGCCUUUAGAAAUGAGGCCUUCUUGUGGCUUCCUCCCCGUACCCGUUGGUGGGUUCCAAAGAAGGCCUCUGGAAAUGCCUUUUGGGCUGUCCAUUGAAGCCUUGGGACCAAAUUGGGCCCCCUGGAGGGACAGUGCUGUUGGUGCCCCCCGGGUUGGGGCACCCCGAGGACUCCAGCGCGCACCGAAAGGAUUAUUCGGGGAGAUCCUCGGGGUGCCCGGCCCUGGGGAGCUCAAAGCAAGGUCCCUGCAAUGGAUUCAGGCAUUGCUGAGAGUAUCCCAGGGGUCCCUGUCCCUGCUAGACAGGGAGCUCUCUAAUGGGCUGUAAUUGGGUGAUAAAAGUGGUGCUCCAAGUGCCAAAGAAGUGUGGGGUUGGGAUUAAGAAAUGAGCAGUGAUGGUGCAAUUGGCUGUUUUCUCUUGAAUGUGACUGUGAGAGCUGCAGGAGUGCCAGGUGUGUGUUCCAGUCCCCAGCAUUUGGUUUGCACCUGUCCUGGUCAGACACAGGUCCAACUUGCUCAGUCCUUAACACAAGAGAGGGAGAAUUAAGGACUGGCACUGUUCAGGUGAUUGGUGUGACAGGGGUCAAACUGGGAAAACACUGGGGAAUUCCUCAGUUUGUCUGUUUGCCAAACUCACCCAAACCUGUGCUAGGAAGAGAGGGACUGGAAAAGUUGAGGCAGAAAUGAAAUGGAAAACUGGGGCUAUUGACACUGUAAUUGCUGAAACUAAAUGUGUCCAAGCAGCAGCUCUUGUUGUGCAGGGAAUAACUCCUGUCAGCAGCAAGGCCCCGACUGAAGUGGCAGCUGCAGUUGUUCCUGUUGUGUGGGCCAGUGGAAUUGCAGGAGAGUGGAAGAGGGCAGAACCUGUAGGUAUUACCCCUACUGUGGGAUCUCUCCUGGUAAGGCAAACCCAGUAUCCUUUAAAAUCAGAAUGCCAGACUGGAUUGGUUGCAGGAACAGCUGAAUUUGCUCCUCCUGGUUUGCUUGUAGAAGGUGAAUGCCAGAACCUGCCAAGAAACCAAUGGCCAAGGUGAUUGAUUAGUGCAGGACCUGAGAGAACCCCCUGAAAUGACAACCUGGAGUAGUUUCCAGGAUUAGAUUGCAAAGAUGGCAUUUGCUGCAUGUCCUUGAGCAAGGAAAGCCAAGAAACCUUUGCUUUUGCAGGAGAAAAUCUGGAAAGCGGGCAGGAAGAAGAGAAGCCCCCUGACUCCUCCCUGAGCCCCAGACAGCCCAUGAACUGCCUUCCUGGGAAUGGUGGGAUGGGCUGGACUCUGGAUUGCUCGCUCUGGAUGUGUGUGGGAUGGAGCCUGGAAACUGCCCAGAGCUGAGCCCAGGGAUUGAAAGGGACCAACCAAGGGAGGUGAAGAAAGAAGGAAGAAGGGAAGUGAGGCAGCAGCCAAGCAGCACCAAGUUGCUGUGUAAGCAGGUGAGUUGUGUUGAGGUUCCUCAGGCAGGCACUGAGGACUUUGAGGGCUCCAGACAGAGAAGACCUGGGAAGGCCCUCGGUGAAGCCCCUCAGAGACCUUCUAAGGGUAGGUGUGUGUGGUGAUAAGUGUUGGGAUUGUCCUGAAUGUGGAACAGGAAUGCAGGGAAGCAAAAUGAACCCUCCUGUAAUGCUGCCAUAUCAGCUGCAGUGGAGACACCUGUGUGUGCCCUUUGGGAUCUGAUUGCCAGGACCCCCGUGGGGCUGGGAUCAUGGCAGGGUGUUGUAAGCAAGGAAUGCCUGGCUUGGAAAACUCACCAGCUGAGUCUUAGAGGCUUCUUUGAAGAGCUGAUUUCAGGCAGCAGAAUUGGCCCCCAGGAGGGACUCUGUGCCUGCUCUCCCAUGGCUCCAAGGGAUCUCUGGCCCUUCACGCCGGCACCGAGAUUUUCUCGGGAAGGGCCUCAGAUCCCCAGACCGGUCUGGGACACAGGCAAGAUCCCCCUGCCUUUAGAAAUGAGGCCUUCUUGUGGCUUCCUCCCCGUACCCGUUGGUGGGUUCCAAAGAAGGCCUCUGGAAAUGCCUUUUGGGCUGUCCAUUGAAGCCUUGGGACCAAAUUGGGCCCCUGGAGGGACAGUGCUGUUGGUGCCCCCCGGGUUGGGGCACCCCGAGGACUCCAGCGCGCACCGAAAGGAUUAUUCGGGGAGAUCCUCGGGGUGCCCGGCCCUGGGGAGCUCAAAGCAAAGUCCCUGCAAUGGAUUCAGGCAUUGCUGAGAGUAUCCCAGGGGUCCCUGUCCCUGCUAGACAUGGAGCUCUCUAAUGGGCUGUAAUUGGGUGAUAAAAGUGGUGCUCCAAGUGCCAAAGAAGUGUGGGACUGGGAUUAAGAAAUGAGCAGUGAUGGUGCAAUUGGCUGUUUUCUCUUGAAUGUGACUGUGAGAGCUGCAGGAGUGCCAGGUGUGUGUUCCAGUCCCCAGCAUUUGGUUUGCACCUGUCCUGGUCAGACACAGGUCCAACUUGCUCAGUCCUUAACACAAGAGAGGGAGAAUGAAGGACUGGCACUGUUCAGGUGAUUGGUGUGACAGGGGUCAAACUGGGAAAACACUGGGGAAUUCCUCAGUUUGUCUGUUUGCCAAACUCACCCAAACCUGUGCUAGGAAGAGAGGGACUGGAAAAGUUGAGGCAGAAAUGAAAUGGAAAACUGGGGCUAUUGACACUGUAAUUGCUGAAACUAAAUGUGUCCAAGUAGCAGCUCUUGUUGUGCAGGGAAUAACUCCUGUCAGCAGCAAGGCCCCGACUGAAGUGGUAGCUGCAGUUGUUCCUGUUGUGUGGGCCAGUGGAAUUGCAGGAGAGUGGAAGAGGGCAGAACCUGUAGGUAUUACCCCUACUGUGGGAUCUCUCCUGGUAAGGCAAACCCAGUAUCCUUUAAAAUCAGAAUGCCAGACUGGAUUGGUUGCAGGAACAGCUGAAUUUGCUCCUCCUGGUUUGCUUGUAGAAGGUGAAUGCCAGAACCUGCCAAGAAACCAAUGGCCAAGGUGAUUGAUUAGUGCAGGACCUGAGAGAACCCCCUGAAAUGACAACCUGGAGUAGUUUCCAGGAUUAGAUUGCAAAGAUGGCAUUUGCUGCAUGUCCUUGAGCAAGGAAAGCCAAGAAACCUUUGCUUUUGCAGGAGAAAAUCUGGAAAGCGGGCAGGAAGAAGAGAAGCCCCCUGACUCCUCCCUGAGCCCCAGACAGCCCAUGAACUGCCUUCCUGGGAAUGGUGGGAUGGGCUGGACUCUGGAUUGCUCGCUCUGGAUGUGUGUGGGAUGGAGCCUGGAAACUGCACAGAGCUGAGCCAAGGGAUUGAAAGGGACCAACCAAGGGAGAUAAAGAAGGAAGAAGGGAAGUGAGGCAGCAGCCAAGCAGCACCAAGUUGCUGUGUAAGCAGGUGAGUUGUGUUGAGGUUCCUCAGGCAGGCACUGAGGACUUUGAGGGCUCCAGACAGAGAAGACCUGGGAAGGCCCUCGGUGAAGCCCCUCAGAGACCUUCUAAGGGUAGGUGUGUGUGGUGAUAAGUGUUGGGAUUGUCCUGAAUGUGGAACAGGAAUGCAGGGAAGCAAAAUGAACCCUCCUGUAAUGCUGCCAUAUCAGCUGCAGUGGAGACACCUGUGUGUGCCCUUUGGGAUCUGAUUGCCAGGACCCCCGUGGGGCUGGGAUCAUGGCAGGGUGUUGUAAGCAAGGAAUGCCUGGCUUGGAAAACUCACCAGCUGAGUCUUAGAGGCUUCUUUGAAGAGCUGAUUUCAGGCAGCAGAAUUGGCCCCCAGGAGGGACUCUGUGCCUGCUCUCCCAUGGCUCCAAGGGAUCUCUGGCCCUUCACGCCGGCACCGAGAUUUUCUCGGGAAGGGCCUCAGAUCCCCAGACCGGUCUGGGACACAGGCAAGAUCCCCCUGCCUUUAGAAAUGAGGCCUUCUUGUGGCUUCCUCCCCGUACCCGUUGGUGGGUUCCAAAGAAGGCCUCUGGAAAUGCCUUUUGGGCUGUCCAUUGAAGCCUUGGGACCAAAUUGGGCCCCUGGAGGGACAGUGCUGUUGGUGCCCCCGGGUUGGGGCACCCCGAGGACUCCAGCGCGCACCGAAAGGAUUAUUCGGGGAGAUCCUCGGGGUGCCCGGCCCUGGGGAGCUCAAAGCAAGGUCCCUGCAAUGGAUUCAGGCAUUGCUGAGAGUAUCCCAGGGGUCCCUGUCCCUGCUAGACAUGGAGCUCUCUAAUGGGCUGUAAUUGGGUGAUAAAAGUGGUGCUCCAAGUGCCAAAGAAGUGUGGGACUGGGAUUAAGAAAUGAGCAGUGAUGGUGCAAUUGGCUGUUUUCUCUUGAAUGUGACUGUGAGAGCUGCAGGAGUGCCAGGUGUGUGUUCCAGUCCCCAGCAUUUGGUUUGCACCUGUCCUGGUCAGACACAGGUCCAACUUGCUCAGUCCUUAACACAAGAGAGGGAGAAUUAAGGACUGGCACUGUUCAGGUGAUUGGUGUGACAGGGGUCAAACUGGGAAAACACUGGGGAAUUCCUCAGUUUGUCUGUUUGCCAAACUCAUCCAAACCUGUGCUAGGAAGAGAGGGACUGGAAAAGUUGAGGCAGAAAUGAAAUGGAAAACUGGGGCUAUUGACACUGUAAUUGCUGAAACUAAAUGUGUCCAAGUAGCAGCUCUUGUUGUGCAGGGAAUAACUCCUGUCAGCAGCAAGGUCCCGACUGAAGUGGUAGCUGCAGUUGUUCCUGUUGUGUGGGCCAGUGGAAUUGCAGGAGAGUGGAAGAGGGCAGAACCUGUAGGUAUUACCCCUACUGUGGGAUCUCUCCUGGUAAGGCAAACCCAGUAUCCUUUAAAAUCAGAAUGCCAGACUGGAUUGGUUGCAGGAACAGCUGAAUUUGCUCCUCCUGGUUUGCUUGUAGAAGGUGAAUGCCAGAACCUGCCAAGAAACCAAUGGCCAAGGGGAUUGAUUAGUGCAGGACCUGAGAGAACCCCCUGAAAUGACAACCUGGAGUAGUUUCCAGGAUUAGAUUGCAAAGAUGGCAUUUGCUGCAUGUCCUUGAGCAAGGAAAGCCAAGAAACCUUUGCUUUUGCAGGAGAAAAUCUGGAAAGCGGGCAGGAAGAAGAGAAGCCCCCUGACUCCUCCCUGAGCCCCAGACAGCCCAUGAACUGCCUUCCUGGGAAUGGUGGGACGGGCUGGACUCUGGAUUGCUCGCUCUGGAUGUGUGGUAAGACUGUUAUGGCAACUUCUCAAAUAGCCUGUAAGCAUUUGCUGCCUUGGCUAGAUGGUGCAAGGGCAGCCUUUAAGCAGCUGAAGCAUUCCCUGAGGAGAGCUCUGGGUCUGCCAGAUGUCUCAGAACUGUUGGAAGCAUCUUUGCUGGGGAGGGCAAAGAAAGGACAAGGGGUGCAGUGACCCCCCUGAGAAGGGACUUUGAGUUAAUGGCAUCCCUGAUGGUGAACUUUGUGGGCUGUUCCCCCUGUAGGGCAGGUGACAGUCCCAGCUACAGGGAUGGGAAAAAUGGUUAAAAGGGAGCCCCAAAAGCUGGAAAUCCUCCUGGAGGCUCUUGGCAAACAGAGUUUCCUGAGUUCCCCCUGUUACGACCCGGGUUACGACCUGCCCCAGGAAAAGGGGGGGGGGGGGGUAACCCGGGUUUUAUCAAAAAUUCCUUUGGGGUGGAUUAAAGCGAAACGACACUAAAUAAUCGGUGUAUGAAAACAUAUAUUGAUAAGAUUUAUUUUAACAGUUUUGAAUCAAUAGGUAAGUUAACAUUUUUGGGUGCUGUCAUAAUCAAUAGGUAAGCUAACACUUUUGGGUGCUGUCAUAACCUUUCUGAGGAGGAGAAAAAUGCAUAAGGGAGAGAAAGGCAGUAUAAGAGCAAGGGAGAGUAAGGGAAAGAAAAGCUGAGAGUGGACAGAUGUCCAUAGUCACCGCCCACGGGGUCCAGCGAUAAAACUUGAUAGUUGCAGCUUCCAUGUCUGUCACUUGAAGUGGUGGUCUUGAUCUGCUGGGGGUGAAGGAGGGAAGCCCCCACACUCCAAGAAGUUAUGAAUUAUCAUAUCCAUGGUCAGUGUCACGGGCCGUGCCUCGAGCCUCCAACCUCUCCCUGGGCCCUGCGCAAGAGCUGCUGUGUCUCGCCUGGCUCCCGCCUUUCAAGUUUAGCAGAGGGAGGGCGGGUCCUGAUUGCUCCUCAGAUGUAUCAAUAGUCAAAAGCCUGCAAGCUCAGCUCUUAUCUUUUCAGGACUUCACACCUCCAGCACUGGAGGGAGGGAGGGUCCUGAUUGCUCGUCAGAUGUAUCAAUAGUCAAAAGCCUGCAAGCUCAGCUCUUGCCUUUUCAGGACUUCACACCUUCAGCACUGGAGGGAGGGAGGGGCCCAACUGCUCAUCAGAGGUAUCAUGCAAGUCAAAAGCCUGCAAAAGUCUCCUAGAAUGCAUAAAUCAUCAACCAUUUCAGUCUCUGACACCCCCUGACAGAAGGACAGUGACAGCUUUUGAAUGCUGGUAGAUCCUUUUAAUAGGUAGCCUUGAGUGUGUCCUUGUUGCCCCAGUAGGCCUUGUCCACCUCCCCAUCUUCCAGGGGCUAUACAUAUUAAAGUUUCAAAUGCUCUUCCUAAUCCUUUGUUGGCUUGAGGCUCUCCCCUGCAGGAACUGCAGGAAUUCCUGGUGCCACCUGGGCCGAUGGAUUGGACGCCCCAGCCCCUCCGUUCCUGCCCAGCCACUGGGUCCGUGUCGAGUGGUGGCACUGCCAGCCCUGCAGGGGAAGUGGGAAGGGCCUUUGCAGGUCUUGUGGGUCACAUUUAUAGCAGUGGGAUGGAGCCUGGAAACUGCACAGAGCUGAGCCAAGGGAUUGAAAGGGACCAACCAAGGGAGGUGAAGAAAGAAGGAAGAAGGGGAAGUGAGGCAGCAGCCAAGCAGCACCAAGUUGCUGUGUAAGCAGGUGAGUUGUGUUGAGGUUCCUCAGGCAGGCACUGAGGACUUUGAGGGCUCCAGACAGAGAAGACCUGGGAAGGCCCUCGGUGAAGCCCCUCAGAGACCUUCUAAGGGUAGGUGUGUGUGGUGAUAAGUGUUGGGAUUGUCCUGAAUGUGGAACAGGAAUGCAGGGAAGCAAAAUGAACCCUCCUGUAAUGCUGCCAUAUCAGCUGCAGUGGAGACACCUGUGUGUGCCCUUUGGGAUCUGAUUGCCAGGACCCCCGUGGGGCUGGGAUCAUGGCAGGGUGUUGUAAGCAAGGAAUGCCUGGCUUGGAAAACUCACCAGCUGAGUCUUAGAGGCUUCUUUGAAGAGCUGAUUUCAGGCAGCAGAAUUGGCCCCCAGGAGGGACUCUGUGCCUGCUCUCCCAUGGCUCCAAGGGAUCUCUGGCCCUUCACGCCGGCACCGAGAUUUUCUCGGGAAGGGCCUCAGAUCCCCAGACCGGUCUGGGACACAGGCAAGAUCCCCCUGCCUUUAGAAAUGAGGCCUUCUUGUGGCUUCCUCCCCGUACCCGUUGGUGGGUUCCAAAGAAGGGCUCCUGAAAUGCCUUUUGGGCUGUCCAUUGAAGCCUUGGGACCAAAUUGGGCCCCUGGAGGGACAGUGCUGUUGGUGCCCCCCGGGUUGGGGCACCCCGAGGACUCCAGCGCGCACCGAAAGGAUUAUUCGGGGAGAUCCUCGGGGUGCCCGGCCCUGGGGAGCUCAAAGCAAGGUCCCUGCAAUGGAUUCAGGCAUUGCUGAGAGUAUCCCAGGGGUCCCUGUCCCUGCUAGACAUGGAGCUCUCUAAUGGGCUGUAAUUGGGUGAUAAAAGUGGUGCUCCAAGUGCCAAAGAAGUGUGGGAUUGGGAUUAAGAAAUGAGCAGUGAUGGUGCAAUUGGCUGUUUUCUCUGGAAUGUGACUGUGAGAGCUGCAGGAGUGCCAGGUGUGUGUUCCAGUCCCCAGCAUUUGGUUUGCACCUGUCCUGGUCAGACACAGGUCCAACUUGCUCAGUCCUUAACACAAGAGAGGGAGAAUGAAGGACUGGCACUGUUCAGGUGAUUGGUGUGACAGGGGUUAAACUGUGAAAACAUUGGGUAGUUCUUGAGUUUGUCUGUUUGCCAAACUCACCCAAACCUCUGAUAGGAAGAGAUGGACUGGAGUCUCUGCUCCCCUGGGCAGUUGUUCUGCAUGACCUGGGAGCCUCUGGGAUUACACUGGACUGGGCAGACAGGGAGCAGUUUGUCCUGUGGAGGUGGGCUGGGUUAGUUCAGGAUGCCUUGGGAGGCAGGGCUGGAGAGGCCCCUCUGUUGGCUGUAGUGCUGGAAGGUUGUAGCAGGAGUGCUGGAGCCCUUCGACCUCCUGCUCCCCCCGUGAGCCCCGCCGGGCCCGUGCCCUUGGCAAUGGAGGGCCCCCCAUUGCUGAGCCAGCGGUUCCGGGGCCGGGAGGGAUGGGAUCAGGAUGCCGAGCUCCACCCAGGGCCAGGGCUGCCAGUGUUCAACCAUGGAGAGAACUGAGAGCAGAGUGAGAUGGAGGCCAAGCUCCAGCACAGGGAUGGGUGAGAAAAGACCCUGGUCCUCAGGUGGAGCUUUGAAUUCCCUGGAAAAAUGGAUCCUGUCAGAUGGUUCAGGCCCUUGUGGGUGCUGGAGCAGAGGCCUCUGUGAUUUAUGGUCACCCUGAAAGGUUGCAAGGACAGCAAGUUCUGACUGCAGGAUGAGGCGGCAAACAAAGUGAAGUGGUCCAGAGAAAAGCUGAGGCUAAAAUUGGUGCUGUGCCAGAGCAGCCUCGUGCAGUGCUUGUUGCUGUCCUGAGUGUCCCAUUGCAGGGGAUAUUCCCAAGGGUGCCUUGUGCUGGGGAACACUGGGGGCAGUUCCCUUUCCCUGGGCAGGGCAGGCAGGGCACGUUUCCCCCCUCGAGGGUGGCUCCACAGUCCCCCCCUGUGCCCUGGGAGCGUGGCAGAACACCUGGAGCCACUGUCCUUGUCAGAGAGGGCAAAGGGAUGGUUGGAUGGGGGAGGGAAUGGUUCAGGGAGUACAAGCACCAUUAGAGUGAGUAGUGCAGCACAUGGAAAAGAAGGGGGGAGUUAAUCCAGACAAAAUCCAAGCACCUGCCCAACCUGUGAUAUUUUUAGGAACUCAGAGGUGCUGUGGUCCCCAGGAAGUAUUGCCCAGGACUAGGCAGGAGACUUUAGGCUUGGUCACCCCCAGAGCAAGUCUCCAGGAGCAGGCAGUGGGGAGGCAGCUCUGCUGUUGAGGAUGGGGUUAUUUUCUCUGCUUUAUUUUGUCUCCAGGGAUAUUCUGCCCAUUAGUCCAAACUGCCUCCGUCUCCUAACUCUCUGAAGAGGUUUUCUGCUUUUUGUGGGAGGGUAAGGUUUGGAUUCUAACUAUAGAAGAGCCAACAAAAUAAAGGCUUCGUGGCAAACAAAUGGUGUCUCCCAAACUCUUUGUACUUCAAAUAGAUGCCUUUAUUCUUAUUUUUUUCUUAUUGGUAUUCUCAAGGUGUUUAAUACCCUGUCUACAGUUAUUUAUUUUGGCUUCUCUUUUUUAUUUGUUACAAAGUUGAUGUGACUGACUCCUUUUUGAAAUCCAGCAGUGCUCUCAAGGAUAUUUCCCCCCCCACUCCUGGGCUUGUGCAGGGCUGUUGAGUCCGUGUGUGCCGCUGUCAGCUUUGCUUCUCUGUUUGCUUGGUUGGCUCCUGUUAGGAGAAGGUUUGUUUCCUCCACUGUAAUAAUUCAGGGAAAUCCUGAGGUAUGAUUUAAGAAAGAAAGUCAUGAACUAUUGCAACAAAUGUGAAUCUGAGAGUGCCUAAAAGCUGUUACUGAAUUCCAUUUCCAGGGACUGUCCUGGUGGGGAUAAUCCAGAACUGCAGCUUUGAUGUUUAAAAAGGAGCCUGUGGUACUUCUUGUUUCCUGUGCUGGGCUUUCCUUGAACAGUGCCCAGGGAGGGGAGCAGCAACAGCUUCACUUGGAAGUGGACUCUGGUUUUUAAGCACAUCCUAAGCUCAGUGUGGUUUUGGUAUCACUAAGUACUUAUUUUAUUUGCCAUUUGUCUUAAAUUGUAUACACCUUUGAAGUGCCAGCUGUGUUUUGAAGACAUUCUUACAGUUGUUUCAAGUGAAAUUUGGAAUGUUACAAAUUUAGAAAGAGAUGAUUUUCCUGUGAAUAAACUACUAAAACAAAGGGGGGAGUGAGGAAAGCCAAGUUCAGGAGAUAACCUUACAAACUGGUUUUGGAAGUUGCUUACCUAAAUAGCCCAAAUUGGUUGGAGCUGCAGCACAAACGGGGGGGAGAAGGAGAGGUUUUGUAUUUUGACAGUUCUUUCAGUUUUUUGCAGGGACUACUGCCAGGUUCUCUUUGAAGUCCAAACCCCAUUAGCAUGGGGAAAUGUGUGUUUGGCUUUAGAAAUAGGAGUUUAUAUUUCCCUUUGAACUAGAGGAAUGUUUCUAUGUCUUUGAAUUUUAAAUUGCAUUUGAAGCAGAAAUAUGUUUGUGUUUUACAGGUGAUAUUUUCAUGAAAAUAGAAAUGCAUCAUCGGAUCUUACUCCUCUGAGGGCAAACCACCAGCCUGAUCAUUUCUUAGUCCCUCAAACCCAGUGCCAUGAACUCCAAGGGGUCUUUGGGUGCAAAUGUGUGGAGUGGUGGUGGCCCCCGUGAGAUGUGACCAGCUGGAAAUGUGUGUGUGUGUGUGCAGAGCUGGGCUGGAUCCCUUGGGAUUUGGCUCCCAGAUCCCCCCCAGCCUUCAGGAAAACUAGAGGCCACCGAACCCUGAGGGAAGGGAGUCCCAUCUGCAGAAGGGUUUUUAGGUUGGGGAAAAGCUCCAGAACAAAGCCUGGGUUCAAAACACCUUCAGCAAAAGUCAAGGAGCACAGACCCUGAAGUCAUCAAGUUAUGGAGUUUGGUUCAAACCAUUUGCUUCUCAGUCAGUUUGAAUGAAGUGUUAAAAGGAGAACUUAAAUAAGGUUAAUUUCUGAUAGAGAACAAUGGGAAGAAGUCAAGUGGUUUAAGUUCAUUAAACAUGUUUUAUAUCAGUCCAUGGUUAUUUAAUUGAGCAUUGUUUGGAAUUUUUCUUUUUGCAUUUGUUCCUUGUGUGCUUUUCUCUAUCUAAGGGAUGGUUGGAGGUCUUUCUGAUUGGUUGAAUGUUUUUAAUGUCAGUGCUAGACUGGGGUGGACAGUCAUUGUACCAUGAUUUAGAGUUUGAUGCA